rnacentral:antisense_RNA from 1 species
GGAAUCAGACCUAUAUGCCUCGUGUUUAACUGUCCAACUUUUUGGGGUCAGUACACCCACGAGGCCCACUGUAUGUCUAACCAACACCAGUAUGGCCUCUUACCGUGCAAAUUGCAAGGAGGAGUAAACCAUG